CUAAAACUGACUUGUAAUUCUUGUCAAUGUCAAAAUACAAACGACGGCAUACUGGCGCCAAUCAUUUUAGAAUUAAAUAUAUACUUAAUUACUGGAUUUCUAAUGUAUUAUUAAAUAAUACAUAAUGGAUGUAUCAACCAAUAUGAUGACAAGUAUUGUCCAAAAGAAGAGAUCCUUUUCAGAUGUCUGAAUGUGCUGAACUGAAAUGAAGCGUGAAACAUGUGAAAAAAAUGUAUUACUUAGGCCCCCCACAGACGGGAGACAAAACUGUUUUGUCUUCGUCGCUCGGUCUAUGGGCUAGUAUGAAGGUGCCCACACGAGGCAACGCAACUUUUCAUACAAAUACGAAAGUCGCUGAGCAACUGCUGCCUCCGUGUGCGCGGAGCCUUACACAAAACUGCAUCAUCUGAUCUUUGAAACCAUCCCACACUGAAUAAAUUUUUAUCCGUGGCGUUGAAGAAAUAGAUGAAAUCAUGAAAUUAUGGCAUCGGCAGUGUUAUAAUGAUUUAAAGAUCAAGAAGAAAUAUAAAUGAAGUGUCAGUGAUUGUUUACUUUGAAAUGUUUAAUAAUCCUUGUUUGUUAAAUGUUUUAAAAAUAUAUUGUACUCACACACAUUCCACCAAAAAACGGACAUGUAAAAUUAUGUUCACAAUGAUGAAAAUAUCUGUGUGGUGUCGGGUCAAAAAUUUCAUCACCUCCUUUCUUCCUGUAGGUGUUGUUGAAAUCCACUGUGGGAUAUGGGUUAAAUUGUGACAUAAGCGACAGACUGGCAAUCUGUAACUGUAAUAAGUUUAUGACUUAUUGCUGUAUUUCCAAAAAUAAAUCACCUGAAGUUGCUCAUGUUUCAA